CGCUGCUCCUAAAAAGAAUCCAAAGAGGUGGCCGAAAGAGAGGUCAGUUUCGGGAGGAGAGGUGUCCUGAUACCCUCCUCUUGAAAGCGUUCAAGUCGUAGGCAGGAGGAAAUACAGAUGAAGGGAGAUUGUUCCAGAGUUUACCAGCGUGAGGGAUGAAAGAGUGAAGAUGCUGGUUAACUCUUGCAUAAGGGGUUUGGACAGUAUAGGGAUGAAAGAGUGAAGAUGCUGGUUAACUCUUGCAUAAGGGGUUUGGACAGUAUAGGGAUGAAAGAGUGAAGAUGCUGGUUAACUCUUGCAUAAGGGGUUUGGACAGUAUAGGGAUGAAAGAGUGAAGAUGCUGGUUAACUCUUGCAUAAGGGGUUUGGACAGUAUAGGGAUGAAAGAGUGAAGAUGCUGGUUAACUCUUGCAUAAGGGAUUUGGACAGUAUAGGGAUGAAAGAGUGAAGAUGCUGGUUAACUCUUGCAUAAGGGGUUUGGACAGUAUAGGGAUGAAAGAGUGAAGAUGCUGGUUAACUCUUGCAUAAGGGGUUUGGACAGUAUAGGGAUGAAAGAGUGAAGAUGCUGGUUAACUCUUGCAUAAGGGGUUUGGACAGUAUAGGGAUGAAAGAGUGAAGAUGCUGGUUAACUCUUGCAUAAGGGGUUUGGACAGUAUAGGGAUGAAAGAGUGAAGAUGCUGGUUAACUCUUGCAUAAGGGAUUUGGACAGUAUAGGGAUGAAAGAGUGAAGAUGCUGGUUAACUCUUGCAUAAGGGGUUUGGACAGUAUAGGGAUGAAAGAGUGAAGAUGCUGGUUAACUCUUGCAUAAGGGGUUUGGACAGUAUAGGGAUGAAAGAGUGAAGAUGCUGGUUAACUCUUGCAUAAGGGGUUUGGACAGUAUAGGGAUGAAAGAGUGAAGAUGCUGGUUAACUCUUGCAUAAGGGGUUUGGACAGUAUAGGGAUGAAAGAGUGAAGAUGCUGGUUAACUCUUGCAUAAGGGAUUUGGACAGUAUAGGGAUGAAAGAGUGAAGAUGCUGGUUAACUCUUGCAUAAGGGGUUUGGACAGUAUAGGGAUGAAAGAGUGAAGAUGCUGGUUAACUCUUGCAUAAGGGGUUUGGACAGUAUAGGGAUGAAAGAGUGAAGAUGCUGGUUAACUCUUGCAUAAGGGGUUUGGACAGUAUAGGGAUGAAAGAGUGAAGAUGCUGGUUAACUCUUG